GGGGCCAUAGCUCAGUGGUAAAGCAUGUGCUUUACAUGCAAAAGACCCCAGUCUCAAUCCCUAGUAUCCCCA